GGCUGGAGGCCAAGACAGCCUCAGAGAGGGACAAAGGGGCAGAGACCAGAAUGGAGGUGGGACGGGGGUAGAACCAGAGCAAAAAGGAGAGCGCUGUGUGGAGGACGGCUUUGCAUCCCGUCUGCUGUUCCCUCCCCGUCGUGACAAAAGAGGAGGGCAGGGGGUUGGUCCUAAGUCCCCAGGGUGGCAGGCCCUCUCCCACGCCCAGCACGGUGGCUGGACCCUGGCACCCUGUUUAUGGGAGGACGGAAGCUAGCUUCCAGAAGUCACAGAAUCCGUAGCCUUCCAAGCUGGGGAGCCCUUCAGCCGCAGCCCCGCGAUUUGAGAUAAGGAGAUAUUUUUCUGGAUGGGCAAAUGUGGGGCCAGGAGAAUGCUCUUCACGGACCUCCUACUAUAAAGACUGAAAAUUCACCAAAGGCCUCAGCUGCUUCUCUCUGAAAGCCAUCAGCUCCUAGUUUAAGGCCAGCUUCCCACAGGGCUGCUCCCAGGCAAUGACCAAGUUCAGGAGAGAUCCUAAGGAAUCUGUGUGGAGGUGGAUGUGAUUAUCCCCAUUUUACAGACCACGACACUAGGACCCAGGCCACACAGCCGGGGCAGAAGAUUCGGGGUGGUGACCUGGGGCCUCGGAGUGACUGCCGUCCACCCUGGGGAGCUCCCUUCAGGGAGAACCUGCUUCUUGGAAGUUCGCAACUCCUCACGCCCCUCACCCAUCCCUGGCUGAGGCCAGGCAGUGCUACAGUUCUGUCUACGGAUAACAGACCCCUGGCUUAGUCUUUAGCCUAAAGCCAUGGAGCUGUGACCUUGAGAGGAGCAUUACUGCUAUCAUCCCCAUUUUACAGAAGCAGGAGAAGUCUAGGAAGUCUAGAGCACAUCCCCUCAUCAUCAGGGCAGAAGGCCCAUCCUGGUCACAGACAGAAAGGAAAGUUCGUUUCAUGUCCUCUCACCUGGAGUAUUUAUUCCCCUAAGAAUCAAGAGGCAUCAAGGAAGACAGAGUCCUAUGGGAAAACAUAAUGUGCUAUUCAAGUCCUGAUGCUGCAUCUUGACAGCUGUGUGAUCUCGAACAAGUCACUUAACCUCUCUGAGCCUUGGUUUCUUCAUCUGUGAAGUGGGGAUAAUAAUACAGCCUCUGUUACUGAACAGAAUUUCUGAAAGUUCCAAGCAGACAUUUGUCAGUAUGCAAAGGGAUGGACAGGGCAACCUUGAAGAUGCUUCUGCGGAGUCAAAGGGGAGCCCAGGGUGGUCCAGCACAUCCUGGCCCAGGUUCUCUUUCAAGCCACGUCCCCUGGAGGCCUUUCAGAACCUCGUCUGACCUUGAAGGGAAGUCACUGGGCCUGUUCCGGAGUAGAGACCAUGUCCUUGCAGACGUGCCCAGGUCAGCUUCAGGUCACAGCUCUAUUAUUUAAGGAUUUCAUAAAAGAGCAAACCUCUGGGCCUGGAAGAAUGGCCGGGAUCCUGACUCUUCCUGCGCAGGAAAUGCUGCAGCUGUGCCAGAGCCCUGGCUUGACCUCCUGAGGACUCAGAGCCCCUGCGAACCGGCGCCCAGCCCCACAGGGCCCCAGUGUGGCUCCCAUGAUGACACCUGGGCCGGGCGCGCCUCCCCCCUUCCACACUGAGCUGAGGCCUACCA